rnacentral:rRNA from 1 species
UGAGGGAAUAUUGGGGUCAAUGGGGCGCAGGCCUGAACCAGCCAAGUCGCGUGAGGGAAGACGGUCCUACGGAUUGUAAACCUCUUUUGUCGGGGAGUAACGUGCGGGACGCGUCCCGUAUUGAGAGUACCCGAAGAAAAAGCAUCGGCUAACUCCGUGCCAGCAGCCGCGGUAAUACGGAGGAUGCGAGCGUUAAUCGGAAUGACUGGGCGUAAAGGGCACGCAGGUGGCGAGAUAAGUUGGAUGUGAAAUUCCCGUGCUUAACAUGGGGACUGCAUCCAAAACUGUUGAACUGGAGUACUGUAGAGGGAGGUAGAAUUCCACGUGUAGCGGUGAAAUGCGUAGAGAUGUGGAAGAAUACCAGAGGCGAAGGCGGCCUCCUGGACAGAUACUGACACUG